UCUUUUUCUCAAUUGAUAUUGAAAAUUUGAACUGUCCAUUUUAGGUUUUGUAUAAAACAAGCAUAACAGCACAUAAACAAGACUUGGACCAGGUAAUCCAACUAACAUUAGUAAUCAUUGGAGAGACACUUGGCACCCAAUAAAUUGAUACUCCUCGCCAUGCGCUGGAGUGGACUGGAGCCUUGCAUUUCUUAGAAGUCAAAGCCUUAAACCCGAAGCAAAUUAAAAACAUUUCAAAGAAGCUUUCUUGGGUCAUUACCAAUAAUGCUGGCCAACAUAAAGGUGUUUUUGUCUUCCACUUGCAUUUGUCGCUUUCCAAUCCUGCCACUCCCUUUCAAAGAAGUGAGCCACUCGAGAAAUGCCGGGACCGGUAAUCUUCUGAAACAGAGAUUAUGAAUAUACCUUAAUGACCCACAAUAUUAAAGGGAAAGUUAUUAAUUAGUAGGAUAUGGUCCAGAACACCCCUCGGAAAGACUCGUAGUAUAUGAUUAUCUGAAGAUUUGUCAUACCCAUAUCCCAUUAACCUUAUUUCGAAAAGUUCAUGUUGCUUUCCUAAUGGCAGAUGUUUGACAUUCAGUUGAAAAUCAGCAUUUUAUUUAUUAUUUUUUGCCUCGUGUUUCAGGAGAAGAAGGGUCUUGGCAUUAUAUGCAUGAUCUUUACUUAGAAUUGGUAAAGAUGUGUCAAUUGAGUUGAUUCCGUUAAGUGAUCGAUUUGUAGUUUAUGUAUGGUGCUAAAAGUACAAGUGACUAUAUCAUAUAACAAGGUCAACUUGUGAAACAUGCAGGACAUAGUAAACUGCAUAAUAUGACCUGUUCAAAGUGCCUUGUGGAGCCUAAGGAGGCACCCUGUCCCAUGACGUUUAAAACAAAGCAAAAAUUCUGCACCACUGCAAAGAAAUAAUUAUAAUAAACGACCCGACUAAGCUGACCAUCAAAGCUGAUGAGAAAAGAAACUCUAAAAAGGAGCAAGAAAUCAAACAAAGAUGUGAAAUCAACAUAAAUUUCAAAAUUGUCAAGGGCAGAGCAGGAGAAAAAAAUGCAGUCGCCUUGUCUAAAAGAAGCCUCCCAAGUAUGCCUUCACGGCUGCUGCCCCAGCCCUCUCCUUGGAUUUCCUGAGCCCCGGAAAAAGUUGGGCAACAACAGAAGCACAGCAGCAACAUGCCGCCACAACUUUGCUGCAACAGCAACUUCCUCUAUCUUCCCAAAUACCCAAUUUACAAAUCCUGAGUCUCUUCCAACUUUGCAAGAAUCAUUUACUGAAUUCAGCAAAGUUUAUCCAAGAUACUCAGAUAGCUAUCAAGUAGACCAAAUUCGAGCCCAAGAAUACUAUCAGCUCUCACUUUCCCACCAUACCUGCCUUGAUUAUAUUGGCAUCGGCCUCUUCUCCUAUGCCCAGCUGCAAAAUCAUGACUGCAGAAAAAAAAUAGUCUCUUCUUCUUGUCCCCCACCUCAUUCACCUCCUAAGAAUUCGCAUUUUCCUUUCUUCAGUGUGUCCUACAAGACAGGGAAUUUGAAGACACAGCUACUUCAUGGUGGCCAAGAAUCGGAAUUAGAGUCUACAAUAAAGAAAAGGAUUAUGAGUUUUCUCAAUUUAUCUGAAAAUGAGUAUAGUAUGGUUUUCACUUCAAACAGAACAUCAGCUUUUAAACUUGUAGCAGAGUCUUACCCUUUCCACUCUAGUCGGAAGCUUCUGACAGUUUAUGACUAUGAGAGUGAAGCAGUGGAAACCAUGAUUAACUGUUCUGAGAACAAAGGAGCUCAAGUCAUGCCAGCAGAGUUCUCAUGGCCU
rnacentral:lncRNA from 1 species